rnacentral:rRNA from 1 species
CCUACGGGAGGCAGCAGUGAGGAAUAUUGGUCAAUGGACGAGAGUCUGAACCAGCCAAGUAGCGUGAAGGAUGACUGCCCUAUGGGUUGUAAACUUCUUUUAUAUGGGAAUAAAAUGUUCCACGUGUGGGAUUUUGUAUGUACCAUAUGAGUAAGGAUCGGCUAACUCCGUGCCAGCAGCCGCGGUAAUACGGAGGAUCCGAGCGUUAUCCGGUUUUAUUGGGUUUAAGGGGAGCGUAGGUGGAUUGUUAAGUCAGUUGUGAAAGUUUGCGGCUCAACCGUAAAAUUGCAGUUGAAACUGGCAGUCUUGAGUACAGUAGAGGUGGGCGGAAUUCGUGGUGUAGCGGUGAAAUGCUUAGAUAUCACGAAGAACUCCGAUUGCGAAGGCAGUUCACUGGACUGCAACUGACACUGAGGCUCGAAAGUGUGGGUAUCAAACAGGAUUAGAUACCCGAGUAGUC